UCGCGAAUCUUUCACAAUGGGCGCAAGCCUGAUGAAGCCACGCCGCGUGUGGGAUGAAGGCCCUCUGGGUUGUAAACCACUGUCAAGGGAGGGGAAACGUACGGUGUGAAUAGCGCCGUGCCUGACUGCUCCCUAAAGGAAGCCCCGGCAAAACAUGUGCCAGCAGCCGCGGUAAUACAUGUGGGGCAAGCGUUGUUCGGAAUUACUGGGCAUAAAGGGUGCGUAGGCGGUUUGUUAAGUCCGUGGUGAAAGUUUUCGGCCCAACCGGAAAAUGGCUGCGGAUACUGGCGAACUUGAGUGCGUGAGGGGUAGGGGGAACGAGCAGUGUAGCGGUGAAAUGCGUAGAUAUUGCUCGGAAGGCCAGAGCCGAAGGGGCCCUACUGGUGCGCAACUGACGCUG
rnacentral:rRNA from 1 species